AGAGACAGGGUCUCAUGUAGCCUAAGGCUGGCUUCAAAUCCACAAUUCUGCCUUGUAGCAAUCGUCUCAAGGCUAAGAUCACAGGUGUGUUCCAUCAUCCCAAACAGUAAGUAUUCUUGAAAUAUCAAAUGACUAUGAGACACAGCAACUACUUUGGUUUUGUUAAAAGGAUGUGGGACUAUUGACAUGUUGCUUACCAAUGUCAUGCUGGGCCCUGUCUC
rnacentral:lncRNA from 1 species